UACAGAGGGUGCGAGCGUUGUUCGGAAUUAUUGGGCGUAAAGCGCUUGUAGGCGGCACGUCAAGUCGCGUGUGAAAUCCCCAGGCUUAACCUGGGAAGUGCGCGCGAAACUGACGAGCUUGAGUGCCGGAGAGGGUCGCGGAAUUCCCGGUGUAGAGGUGAAAUUCGUAGAUAUCGGGAGGAACACCAGUGGCGAAGGCGGCGACCUGGACGGACACUGACGCAUGAGACGGCG
rnacentral:rRNA from 1 species